AUUGAACGCUGGCGGCGUGGCUAAAGCAUGCAAGUCGAGCGAACCCGCAAGGGUGAGCGGCGGACGGGUUAGUAAUACGAUCGAACGUACCUCGAGGUGGGGAUAGCGACGGGAACUGUGCGUAAUACCCCAUGAUCUCUCCGGAGCAAAGGUUUACCGCCUUGAGAGUCGGCGAUCGUCCUAUCAGCUAGUUGGCGGGGUAAAGGCCCACCAAGGCUAUGACGGGUAGCAGGUGNGAGAGCACGACCUGCAACAUCGGGACUGAGACACUGCCCCGGACUCCUACGGGAGGCUGCAGCGACGAAUCUUCCGCAAUGGGCGCAAGCCUGACGGAGCGACG
rnacentral:rRNA from 1 species